AGAGUUUGAUCCUGGCUCAGGACGAACGCUGGCGGCGUGCCUAAUACAUGCAAGUCGAGCGAAUCGACGGGAGCUUGCUCCCUGAGAUUAGCGGCGGACGGGUGAGUAACACGUGGGCAACUUGCCUAUAAGACUGGGAUAACUUCGGGAAACCGGAGCUAAUACCGGAUACGUUCUUUUCUCGCAUGAGAGACGAUGGAAAGACGAUUUACGCUGUCACUUAUAGAUGGGCCAGCGGCGCAUUAGCUAGUUGGUGAGGUAAUGGCUCACCAAGGCGACGAUGCGUAGCCGACCUGAGAGGGUGAUCGGCCACACUGGGACUGAGACACGGCCCAGACUCCUACGGGAGGCAGCAGUAGGGAAUCUUCCGCAAUGGACGAAAGUCUGACGGAGCAACGCCGCGUGAACGAAGAAGGCCAUCGGGUCGUAAAGUUCUGUUGUUAGGGAAGAACAAGUACCAGAGUAACUGCUGGUACCUUGACGGUACCUAACCAGAAAGCCACGGCUAACUACGUGCCAGCAGCCGCGGUAAUACGUAGGUGGCAAGCGUUGUCCGGAAUUAUUGGGCGUAAAGCGCGCGCAGGUGGUUCCUUAAGUCUGAUGUGAAAGCCCACGGCUCAACCGUGGAGGG
rnacentral:rRNA from 1 species